AGUGAACGCUGGCGGUAGGCCUAACACAUGCAAGUCGAACGGCAGCACAGUAAGAGCUUGCUCUUACGGGUGGCGAGUGGCGGACGGGUGAGGAAUACAUCGGAAUCUACUUUUUCGUGGGGGAUAACGUAGGGAAACUUACGCUAAUACCGCAUACGACCUACGGGUGAAAGCAGGGGAUCUUCGGACCUUGCGCGAUUGAAUGAGCCGAUGUCGGAUUAGCUAGUUGGCGGGGUAAAGGCCCACCAAGGCGACGAUCCGUAGCUGGUCUGAGAGGAUGGUCAGCCACACUGGAACUGAGACACGGUCCAGACUCCUACGGGAGGCAGCAGUGGGGAAUAUUGGACAAUGGGCGCAAGCCCGAUCCAGCCAUACCGCGUGGGUGAAGAAGGCCUUCGGGUUGUAAAGCCCUUUUGUUGGGAAAGAAAAGCAGCAGGUUAAUACCCCGCUGUUCUGACGGUACCCAAAGAAUAAGCACCGGCUAACUUCGUG
rnacentral:rRNA from 1 species